rnacentral:rRNA from 1 species
ACUCCUACGGGAGGCAGCAGUGGGGAAUAUUGCACAAUGGGGGAAACCCUGAUGCAGCCAUGCCGCGUGUGUGAAGAAGGCCUUCGGGUUGUAAAGCACUUUCAGUAGGGAGGAAGGUAGUGUAGUUAACACCUGCAUAUUGAUGUAUCCUACAGAAGAAGCACCGGCUAACUCCGUGCCAGCAGCCGCGGUAAUACGGAGGGUGCGAGCGUUAAUCGGAAUUACUGGGCGUAAAGCGCAUGCAGGCGGCCUGUUAAGUCAGAUGUGAAAGCCCGGGGCUUAACCUCGGAAUUGCAUUUGAAACUGGC